rnacentral:sRNA from 1 species
UUUUAGCCCGGAUCGAAACGGCAUCCUUUUACGGAACGAAGUGGAGGAAAAGAUAGAGUGGAGAGCCGGUACGAUU